rnacentral:rRNA from 1 species
GAUGAACGCUGGCGGCGUGCUUAACACAUGCAAGUCGAACGAUGAAGCCCAGCUUGCUGGGUGGAUUAGUGGCGAACGGGUGAGUAACACGUGAGUAACCUGCCCUUAACUCUGGGAUAAGCCUGGGAAACUGGGUCUAAUACCGGAUAGGAGCGUCCACCGCAUGGUGGGUGUUGGAAAGAUUUAUCGGUUUUGGAUGGACUCGCGGCCUAUCAGCUUGUUGGUGAGGUAAUGGCUCACCAAGGCGACGACGGGUAGCCGGCCUGAGAGGGUGACCGGCCACACGGGGACUGAGACACGGCCCAGACGCCGACGGGGGGCAGCAGUGGGGAAUAUUGCACAAUGGGCGAAAGCCUGAUGCAGCGACGCCGCGUGAGGGAUGACGGCCUUCGGGUUGUAAACCUCUUUCAGUAGGGAAGAAGCGAAAGUGACGGUACCUGCAGAAGAAGCACCGGCUAACUACGUGCCAGCCGCCGCAGUAA